rnacentral:lncRNA from 1 species
GAUCACGCUGGUUUAGACUCUCGUGUUCUUCUUUUGUCCAUCCAAUCACCACUGGAACUCGUGCAUACGCCUUAGUGUGAGGAAAAGGUGCUUUAACUGUCACUUUGACCCUAAAUUCUCCAACCAUUAUCUUCGAAUUUUGUAUCGAAUAUAACGUAUCAAGUAUUGGUAUAGUUCUUUCUAGUUGUAACACACUAUUUGCCUUUAUAGUAGGAGAAGUUUCUUUGGUUCCUGGUACCUAUGCUCCCUUUUUCAAUGUGUUUAGAGGGAGAUUCCCCUUUAGAUAUAUAAGUGUUGAAAUAAACGAGCUGACUUUUGAUAGAAAUGUCGACAUUUGACUCAUUCGUCACUGUCAUCGUCAGAUGAAUGCGAUCGCCUGGUUUUAAACAUGUUCUGUCUAUUUCUCCCUUUACUGUGAUCUUAUUGUUUGGAUUGAAGGAAAGUAGUUUUUUCUCGACUUUAAAGGUUAAUGGCUGUCGACUGCAGGGCUUCACAUAUCCAUAGACAGGCACU